rnacentral:snRNA from 1 species
AUACCUUUCUCGGCCUUUUGGCUAAGAUUAAGUGUAGUAUUCUUAUCAGUUUAAUAUCUGAUAUAUGGGUCAUCGACCCACUCGAUAUUAACUCAAUUUUUAAGGAAAAAAACCUACUAAAAUAGCUUGCUAUUUGGGUUUUCAAAAGUCGCCCAUGUGUUUCACUACUGCACGGGUUGGCUCAACCCGC